AUUAAUAUCGGUCCCGGUACGAUGUCCGAAGUUAAGCAAUGUCGAGCCUGGUCAGUACCGAGAUGGGUGACCGUUUGUGAAUACCAAGUGCUGUAUG